rnacentral:rRNA from 1 species
GAUGAACGCUGGCGGCGUGCUUAACACAUGCAAGUCGAACGAUGAAGCCCAGCUUGCUGGGUGCAUUAGUGGCGAACGGGUGAGUAACACGUGAGUAACCUGCCCUUGACUCUGGGAUAAGCCUGGGAAACUGGGUCUAAUACUGGAUAUGACUUCUCAUCGCUUGGUGGGGGGUGGAGAGAUUUAUUGGUCUUGUAUGGACUCGCGGCCUAUCCGCUUGUUGGUGAGGUAAUGGCUAACCAAGGCGACGACGGGUAGCGGGCCUGAGAGGGUGACCGGCCAAACUGGGACUGAGACACGGCCCAGACUCCUACGGGAGGAAGAGGUGGGGAAUAUUGAAAAAGGGGGGAAAGCCUGAUGCAGCGACGCGGCGUGAGGGAUAACGGCCUUCGGGUUUUAAACCUCUUUCAGUAGGGAAGAAGCGAGAGUGACGGUACCUGCAUAAGAAGCGCCGGCUAACUACGUG